GGAUGAACGCUGGCGGCGUGCCUAAUACGUGCAAGUCGAACGGGAAGCCUCGGACUUGUCUGGGGUGGAGAGUGGCGAACGGGUGAGUAACACGUAGGUGACCUGCCUCGAAGAUGGGGAUAACUGUUGGAAACGGCAGCUAAUACCCAAUGCACUCGGUAAUUCGGUUUAUCGAGUAAAGCGCCCCUCACGGGGAUAGCGCUUCGAGAUGGGCCUGCGGCCUAUCAGCUAGUUGGUAGGGUAAUGGCCUACCAAGGCGAGGACGGGUAGGGGGCGUGAGAGCGUGACCCCCCACACUGGCACUGAGACACGGGCCAGACUCCUACGGGAGGCAGCAGUCGGGGAUAUUGCGCAAUGGACGAAAGUCUGACGCAGCGACGCCGCGUGAGUGAUGAAGGCCUUCGGGUUGUAAAACUCUUUUAUGGGGGAAGAGGAAGGACGGUACCCCAUGAAUAAGCGUCGGCUAACUACGUGCCAGCAGCCGCGGUAAAACGUAGGACGCAAGCGUUAUCCGGAUUUACUGGGCGUAAAGAGCGUUGAGGCGGUUCUGUAAGUUGGGCGUGAAAGCCCUCGGCUUAACUGAGGGACGCCGUCCAAUACUGCAGGACUUGAGGGCAGCAGAGGGAGGUGGAAUUCCCGGUGUAGCGGUGAAAUGCGUAGAGAUCGGGAGGAACACCAGUGGCGAAGGCGGCCUCCUGGGCUGCUUCUGACGCUGAAUGCGAAAGCUAGGGUAGCGAACGGGAUUAGAAACCCCGGUAGUCCUAGCUGUAAACGAUGGAUGCUAGGUGUAGGAGGUAUAGAUCCCUUCUGUGCCGAAGC
rnacentral:rRNA from 1 species